UUCCCUUCCUCAAAAGUGAAGUUAAGGUAUUUUUUAAGGUUUGAGGAUUCCGGGCCCGUUUCGCUUCCGGCUAGGGAAGGAAGCGUGUUUCCCGGGGCCCAAAUGAACAGGGAAAUUUACCAAGUAGGAAGUUGAGGACUAGUCCAGCCGCCAGGCCCUGCCUUUACUCAGCUGGCCUUCCAGUCUAGACCCCGACCUCCUGGGGCAGGGAAGGCAGGCAGACUGCAAGCAGCCACCCCGCCCAGCUCGCCCUGCCCGCCCGGGAGCUGAAGGGCCCAUCCCUCCCGCCAUCCACCCCCGAUGCCGACUCCGAGGAGCACAAACGGGGGGCGCUGCGGCAACCCGUCCGCCGUGGCGGCGGCACCCUCAGGCCCUCCCGUGAGAAGGCGGCGGCGGCGGCGGCUGCGGCGGCGGCGGCUGCAGCAACGGCGCGAGAGGAGCAGCUAUCAUUUUUGCCCUUUGUGGGAAGCACCAUGUGAGAUAUCCAACUACUCUGAAACUACCACACUGUGAAGUGUCUAAUCAAGCCACCUGGAGAGACCAAAUGGAAGAAAACUAAGGCCCCUGGCCAACAGCCCCAGCUGUGCUCCUACUGGCCAGUCAGCACCAGGCUGCCACGCAUGUGACUGAUACAGUCUUGGAAGUGAAUUUUCCAGCCCUACUCAAGCUACUGCAGCUGACACCACAUGGAACAGAGAUGAGCUUUUCUCCCCAGUGCCCAAAUAGCAGAAUUGUGGGAAAAUAAAUAAAACAGUUGUAUUAAGCCAC